rfam:Drosophila persimilis strain MSH-3 cont1.004336, whole genome shotgun sequence.
CUGUUCUACGUGCGAGUUCCACCAUGCAAGUUUUGAGCGUAUAUGAAUCCAAAAACUUGACACGUUGAGCUCGUGCGUGGUGCAG